GGGCUCUAUUCUCACUUUAGUGAUUCGUAGCAAUGGACAAAGGUAAGUAUUCCACAGGCAACUGGGGCUCUAUUCUCACUUUAGUGAUUCGUAGCAAUGGACAAAGGUAAGUAUUCCACAGGCAACUGGGGCUCUAUCCUCACUUUAGUGAUUCGUAGCGAUGGACAAAGGUAAGUAUUUCACAACGGGGAUUUUUCACCUAGAAUACUUCUCCUGGGCGGUGGGCUUACGGUGAAAUACUGCGAU